AGAAGAAAGAGAAGAGAUAGAGAGAAGAGAGAGAAAGGAGAGAGAGAAGAGAGAGGAGAGAGAGACGAAGGUCAGCUCAUUUCUGAACUGUUCCACUGCUCUUGCAGUAAAAGGUGUUGGUAAUUAACGCCGGUUAUUCGGCCAUAAAGUGCUGGAAAAAUCGAAGAAAAGUCUCCAGGCCGGGAAGAGAUAGAGAGAGAGAGAGAGAGAGAGAGAGAGAGAGAGAGAUAGAGAGAGAGAGGGGGAAGAAGGGUUUGAAGAGUGGAAGGGAGUGGUGAUUUCUGGGAGAGAUCUUAUAUUGUAAGCAUCUUCCUCCCUCUUCCUGCUUGCGGUUUUCCUGGUUCUUCCCGUCCUGUUUGAUUUUCUGUGCUUGUGAUGGUUUCUUCUCUGUCCUGGUUUGCAGUUUCUCUCUCCUCGGCUCUCCCGAGAUUUCUGCCCGCUUGUGUCGCGCGCGUCUCGCUGCCCGGUUCGUCCGAUCGGGGCUGGAUGAUGCCCCCCCUCCCCUGCCCCCUUCCCUGGAAUCUGGUUCGAUCUCUUUCUGUGGCGAUGCUGAGGGCGGUUUGCUCCUCUGAGAUGUGUUCUCGGUCCGGUGUCCGCCGGCUUCCUGAGCCGCCCUUGCGCUGCCUGUGCGGUGUUCUUGCCGUUCUUCAGCUCUCGGUUUCCGUUCCCCAAACCCUAGGUUCCGUCCGGGCCGGAUCGUUCUAGCGGGAGCUGAUUCCAGUCCGGCGUUCCCACUGAACUCCCGCUCUCUUCUUCUUAGAUGGAUCCUCAGUCGUGGACGAUCGCCAUGGGAGGACGGCUUAUCUAGGUUACCCGGUGUGCUUCCCGCCUAGAUUUGGGGGAAAUGCCAGCUCUCCGCAGAUUCGUAAUGUUUGUGAUCUCCGCUUUAAGUUUAAGUUGGUAUUCGAAAUUUCUCAUCGUAUUACGACAUUUUUUUUCUCUGUGUGGCGAAUGUUUCUCACGAAUGGUUGGAUCCUUCAAUCUAGCAAAUGAUCCUGUUUAAGAUCCUUGGCCAUGGAGAUCCUCUCUGGUGCAUGCUUUGCUUGAAGAUUAUGUUUAUUCCUCAGAAUAUGACCUCUUGAUCAUAAUAUUUUAGAUUUCGUUGUUUAAAUUCGCGUUUAUGCGGAAGAAUCUUGCUCCCUGAUUACCGACUCAGAUCACCAACUCGGGAUCUAUUACGGUCUAGCAUCUAUCAUUUUUAAUCUUCAUCAGAAUGUAUUUGAUUUCUUCGACUACUCUCGAUUGCUUCGUAUGGGUUCGACGACUGAGAAUGAUGUUGUGUUCUUGUGUUGUUCUUCUGAUGAUCAUAUUCUUUUGAUAUCAUGAUCGUAUCAUCUUGGGAUAUUGUUUAAUCUGAAUCUUAUAUUAGAUAAAAUUCGAAUGUUCUCGUGGUGGUCCUUGAUCGAUCCAAGUUUUGAUAUCUCGAUCAUGAUAUAUUGAUUACUGGUUGAAAUAUCUGACCAGGGAUACACUAUGUAUUUGAAAUUGUUCUUCUUAGAUUGACCGAGUUUUUCAUCAUCUUCAUCAUAAUAUGUGGGGUUCUUGUGGAGAUUUUCCUGCUCAUGUGGAAAUCUCAAUCCCCGAAUUCAGUUAAUGGAAACAGAUAUUGUUCUUCCGAUCUUCCUCCUGUCAAUCAGAUUUCUGGCAUCUGAACCAAAAUAUAUUUGGAUUUUUUUCAGAAAAUUUCAUGCGCAUGCGUUAAUUUUCUUUCCUGAUUAUUCGUCAAAAUGACGGUCCAGGAACAAGUUGUGUUCUUCAAUUUUUUCCUCUGAUCAAUCAAAAGUUUUAAAUCCUCGCCUCACUAAUUUCAUUCUCAGAUUGAAAUAUAUGCGAUUUCUGACUAGAAAAUAUCUCAUGUUCUUGCAUUGUUCUUCAAGAGAUCAAAGUUUGAUCUUUAUGUUCUUUCUUUCAGAGGCCCUCUCCUCCCGUUCUGUACCUGUUUUCCAGCAUUGACAACUAGAUUCUAGUUUCCUUAAUGGGCUGAGCUAGAGAGAGACAGAGAGAGAGAGAGAGAGAGAGAGAGAGAGAUACAAGAAAGAGGAAGAGAGAGAGAGAGACUGAAGCUUGGU
rnacentral:lncRNA from 1 species